CUAGCUACGGUUUUAGAAGACGUGAAUAGGUCUACUUUUUAUUAUUGAUUUACUCGCGUAAGUACAUUUUUUUAAUGGUGAUGUCUGUUCCAACUCAUCGCAUAAUGCUUCGAAAACAGUCUACGAACUCAAAGGUCAAACAGCCACCAUGACUUCAAAUAAUGCUGUGGCCUCAGAUGGUGAAGGACAGUUGCUUUGUAAGCCAACCAGAAUGUGAAUCCAGGAGGUACACCAACAUCACCCCAAUGAGAUCCGUGGCUGAUGGACAAGGGACAUUCAUUGUUCUUGCAACCUGGAUGUGAAACGCAGAUCUUCAAUGGAAUAAGAUCAGGUAGUGGUGAUGCAGUAUCAAGGACAAGACUCAAGAAAUGGACAUGAAUCACUGACCAGUGAAAUGCAGACAUCUUUAAUGGCACAUUAAUGUAUUAAAUAUCACAAUUGUAAAAGCCCUGCAGUCAAUCUGUAUUGUAAGGCGCUUUCUUCAGUGUGUCCAAGAAGAACUGCUCAUCCUGCAGAAAGUCACGAUCCUAAGGACAGAAGUGCAUGUGACAUACAGCGGUGUAUAAUUUUGCAGACAUAAUAAAAUUCUGAAAACAA